UCUAUGCUUAAGCAAUAGGUCGCUG
rnacentral:piRNA from 1 species